UACGUAGGGUGCGAGCGUUAAUCGGAAUUACUGGGCGUAAAGCGUGCGCAGGCGGUGAUGUAAGACCGAUGUGAAAAUCCCCCGGGCUUAACCUGGGAACUGCAUUUGGUGACUGCAUUUGCUCGAGUAUGGCAGAGGGGGGGGUGGAAUUCCACGUGUAGCAGUGAAAUGCGUAGAGAUGUGGAGGAACACCGAUGGCGAAGGCACCCCC
rnacentral:rRNA from 1 species